AUUGAACGCUGGCGGAAUGCUUUACACAUGCAAGUCGAGCGGCAGCGCGGGGCAACCUGGCGGCGAGCGGCGAACGGGUGAGUAAUGCAUCGGAACAUGUCCAUGUCGUGGGGGAUAGCCCGGCGAAAGCCGGAUUAAUACCGCAUAUGCCCGAGAGGGGAAAGCCGGGGACCGCAAGGCCUGGCGCGAUUGGGUUGGCCGAUGUCCGAUUAGCUAGUUGGCGGGGAAGAGCCCACCAAGGCGAUGAUCGGUAGCUGGUCUGAGAGGAUGAUCAGCCACACUGGGACUGAGACACGGCCCAGACUCCUACGGGAGGCAGCAGUGGGGAAUUUUGGACAAUGGGGGAAACCCUGAUCCAGCCAUUCCGCGUGAGUGAAGAAGGCCUGGUGUAAG
rnacentral:rRNA from 1 species